rnacentral:rRNA from 1 species
UACGUAGGGCGCAAGCGUUGUCCGGAAUUAUUGGGCGUAAAGAGCUCGUAGGCGGCUUGUCACGUCUGCUGUGAAAUCCCGGGGCUUAACCCCGGGCGUGCAGUGGAUACGGGCAGGCUGGAGGCAGGCAGGGGAGAACGGAAUUCCCGGUGUAGCAGUGAAAUGCGUAGAGAUCGGGAGGAACAUCUGUGGCGAAGGCGGCCAUCUGGACCAGCACUGACACUGAGGCACGAAAAGCGUGGGGAGCAAAACAGG